CAGUCGCCGCGGUAAAACAGAGGAUGCAAGCGUUAUCCGGAAUGAUUGGGCGUAAAGCGUCUGUAGGUGGCUUUUCAAGUCCGCUGUCAAAUCCCAGGGCUCAACCCUGGACAGGCGGUGGAAACUACCAAGCUGGAGUACGGUAGGGGCAGAGGGAAUUUCCGGUGGAGCGGUGAAAUGCAUUGAGAUCGGAAAGAACACCAACGGCGAAAACACUCUGCUGGGCCGACACUGACACUGAGAGACGAAAGCUAGGGGAGCAAAUGGGAUUAGAUACCCCUGUAGUCCCUGUCUCUUAUAA
rnacentral:rRNA from 1 species